rnacentral:rRNA from 1 species
UACGUAGGGGGCUAGCGUUGUCCGGAAUCAUUGGGCGUAAAGCGUGUGUAGGCGGUCCGGUAAGUCCGCUGUGAAAGUCGAGGGCUCAACCCUCGAAUGCCGGUGGAUACUGUCGGGCUAGAGUACGGAAGAGGCGAGUGGAAUUCCUGGUGUAGCGGUGAAAUGCGCAGAUAUCAGGAGGAACACCAAUUGCGAAGGCAGCUCGCUGGGACGUUACUGACGCUGAGACGCGAAAGCGUGGGGAGCAAACAGG